rnacentral:rRNA from 1 species
GAUGAACGCUGGCGGCGUGCCUAAUACAUGCAAGUCGAGCGAACAGACGAGGAGCUUGCUCCUCUGACGUUAGCGGCGGACGGGUGAGUAACACGUGGAUAACCUACCUAUAAGACUGGGAUAACUUCGGGAAACCGGAGCUAAUACCGGAUAAUAUAUUGAACCGCAUGGUUCAAUAGUGAAAGACGGUUUUGCUGUCACUUAUAGAUGGAUCCGCGCCGCAUUAGCUAGUUGGUAAGGUAACGGCUUACCAAGGCGACGAUGCGUAGCCGACCUGAGAGGGUGAUCGGCCACACUGGAGCUGAGACACGGUCCAGACUCCUACGGGAGGCAGCAGUAGGGAAUCUUCCGCAAUGGGCGAAAGCCUGACGGAGCAACGCCGCGUGAGUGAUGAAGGUCUUCGGAUCGUAAAACUCUGUUAUUAGGGAAGAACAAAUGUGUAAGGAACUAUGCACGUCUUGACGGUACCUAAUCAGAAAGCCACGGCUAACUACGUG